rnacentral:rRNA from 1 species
UCGAGUUUUUAACUCUUAAACCAUUUGUGAACUUACCUUCUGG